AUUGAACGCUGGCGGCAGGCCUAACACAUGCAAGUCGAACGAGUGGCGGACGGGUGAGUAAUGUAUUGGAACCUGCCUGAUGGAGGGGUAUAACUACUGGAAACCGUAGCUAAUACCGCAUACCAUCGGAUGUGCCCAGCUGGUAUUAGCUAGUCGGUGGGGUAACGGCUCACCUAGGCGACGAUGCCUAGCUGGUCUGAGAGGAUGACCAGCCACACUGGAACUGAGACACGGUCCAGACUCCUACGGGAGGCAGCAGUGGGGAAUAUUGGACAAUGGGCGAAAGCCUGAUGCAGCCAUGCCGCGUGUAUGAAGAAGGCCUUCGGGUUGUAAAGUACUUUCAGCGGGGAGGCGUUACCAGCAGAAGAAGCACCGGCUAACUCCGUGCCAGCAGCCGCGGUAAUAC
rnacentral:rRNA from 1 species